rnacentral:lncRNA from 1 species
UGCUUUUAGUGCUCCCUGCAGCUGGCAGCCUGGAUCCAACACAGAAUGGGAGUGAGAUGCAAAGUAACAGCAAGCUUUCAUCUGAUGAUGAACAUGAAGCCACUCCUGACACUGCCAAAUAUUGCUGGAGCAAAGGGACAACACACAAACUGA